GUGAAUUCGCUCAGUCAUGUCUGACUCUUAGCAACCCCAUGGACUGCAGCCCACUAGGCUCCUCCAUCCAUGGGAUUUUCCAGGCAAGACUACUGGAGUGGGGUGCCAUUGCCUUCUCCAAAGUAUUUAUAACUAAUGCUGCUUAAAUGCUGGAAGUGGAGGAAAAUAAAUUUCCUAAAGAGCUCAUCAAAGCCUAGUCAGGAAAAGAGAUGUCCUAGGUAAGCACAGAGAGCUUUCAGGAAGAUGGCUUGUCAAAAAUCCUUUCUUGCCCAUUCAGGUGAUUCUAGGAAAUAGAACAAGUCUACUUUGUAGACAUAGUGGUGAGAGAAGGACAUAGAGAUGCCAACUCCUGUUACUUCUCGCCCUGGUUCCAUGGAAGGACACUCCCGGUUCCAGGCCUUCUGUCUUUACGUUACUCUUGGUAGUAGGGAAUUUGAAGGGCAAAUUUCAUUUCCAGUGAACCCAUGGGGCAAUGAGCUAAGGACCGGGUCUCAUGCCCUGUUUGCCUUUCCCUGCUCCUGUCCUGACUUCCUGCUUCCCAAGAUUCAUACAGAAGAAAUGGAGCAUAUUUAGCUUAUUUUUUCUGAAAACCUAGUCAGUGACAGACCCAUUUGGCUCACCACUCAAUUUUGCCUAGAGAGUCAGGAAGUAAGAGAUACUUUGUCAACUUUUCUCCUUACUGAAUCUUGCUGAACAAUGCUUUUGCUGUGUGACUAUUGCACAUUUAAAUCCAACUCUACUAAUUACCUGAACCUAACCUCAUGCAAAGAGUUGACUCAUUGGAAAAGACUGAUGCUGGGAAGGAUUGGGGGCAGGAGGAGAAGGGGAUGACAGAGGAUGAGAUGGCUGGAUGGCAUCACUGACUCAAUGACGUGAGUCUGAGUGAACUCCGGGAGUUGGUGAUGGACAGGGAGGCCUGGCGUGCUGCGAUUCAUGGGGUCGCAAAGAGUCGGACGCGACUGAGGGACUGAACUGAACUGAAGUAGGGUGUGACUUUUUAACCUAAAUUAAUCAUAUAAUAUUCUUUAGACUAUCUUAUACUUUUACAGGCUGAUCUUUGCUGUCUUUUUUCCUUGUUUCUGACAGAUGUCAUGUUUGGGUUCUAUUUUCUCCUUUCCAGUCCUAGGUCUAAUUCGGGCCCAUUAUCUUCAGGAGCCUUUUAAGUUAUCCUCUCAUCCAUCCAAAGGACUCCUACUCAUUCUUCAUGCUGCUGUCGCGUUAAUCUUCUUAGAGUAAGCACAUCCCUUGCUCUUAGACUUGAGUGGUUGCCCACUGUUUUCAGAAUCAAGUCCAGACUCCUUUGAAACCCAGCUUUCUGUCAUGACAUCAGUAUGCUCCCAUGAUGAAGCAGUAUUUAUUUCAGUAGUAGGUUCAGAUACACUUGUUUUUAGUGAAAUACCAGAAUCAUUCUUGCCAAUGGCAGCCGUUCUAUAACUUAAAAAUAUUUUGUCAGAGAAAUAGCAAUAGUGACUCAUUGAGAAAACUUCCUUAAUCUUCUGACUCUUCUUCAAGACUUUCUGCUUAUGGGGCUAUAACUCUCUGAUGGUCUGACAUUUUUAUAAUUUCUUUUACUACAAGCAGUUCAAAGUAUUGAUGCAUAUAACCUUGUUGCUGGCUGUGUGGUAAGUCUCAAGCAUCAGAAAAUGGAUAGAUAGCUUAAGAUACUUUGCUAGGCACACCAGUAUUUUAAAUCCGAAUUGAUAUACUUGGUGCUUCAAGACAGAUGGUUCAUUGCUUGUGAGGCUAAGAGCAUUUGGCAGUACUGAAAUUGAGCCUUCUGUUCAAUCCAGAAUAAUUCAGUGAUGAGUGGGCAACUUUGUACUUUUUUUUUUUUUCUGGAUUUGAAUAUUUGGAAGUGUUUUAGCUUACAUAUUAACUAUAUGUAAGCGCCUUCAUAAAGUGACAUUCCAAGCAUAGGCAAGCACAUUAUCAGUGGAUAGGCACUAUAUCAGUUUGGCAUAUGGCAACACUUGUUUUUAUUUUCAUUAUAGGGAUGUUCCUAGGAAGAUUAACAAGUAUUCGGCCAUGUUUAAACAUGGGCACAAAACUUUCCAGGUUUAAAGUUAACUGUAAGUUAGGCUCAUGUUAGUUAACAUCCAAGGGGAGGAUUUUUGAAUGUGACUGAAGUGAGUCUGAAGAAAGAGGCUUUUAGGUCUCGUGUGGGUCAUCUCUCCCCAGUUUUACGUGAUUGCCCCAGGUAACACCUCUCCUCGGGUACCUUGCUAAGACAGCAUUUCCUUAUUUAAGGCCUGGCUAGAGGAUUGCAAAGAACAGCAUAUUUAGAGCCCUGUGUUUUGUUACUUAAAUUAGAAAUCAUUUUGUAUUCUUUUUGAUUUGCAGCUUGUUAGAGCUUUCUCAGUAAUUAGCUGGAAAUGUCUUUUCUCCAUGUAUUUUCAAAGUAGGACUUACAUAAUUCUGUGGUCAUUAGGGGACGACUGGGUGUUGAGGAGCCAGCAGCCCCAGUCGCCCGCAACACGGGAACGCCCCGCGGGGCCGUCUACAGGCCGACAGCAGCGGCACCGUCGUUCCGCAGUCGGCCCUGGGUUGGGGUUUUGAUGGAUGGAGGAUGUUGAUGGUUAAUUUAGCAGAGGGUGCUAUGAUGUGGAGAAAACACCCACCUCAUUUAAGCUUUGGGAAAAGGUUUACUCGUUUGAGCCAGAGUUAAAAAUAGUGUUUUGCCUGCUCUCUCAGUGCUGAAAGGAUAAAGAGAUCAAUAAAAAGUUUCCUCGGAUUCUGUAAGUCAAACUUGUCUCUCUUUUUUCUACAUUUCCAGGGAAACCAAGAUCACAAAUAAAGGGGCAUUCUGUAUUUUUAUUGAUUCUCUAAUGUAAAUUCUUUUCUGACAAUAAGUGUCUCGUGAAGGGUACUCUGACCACUUUUCUAGAUUUAUUUCAUAUAACACAUCCAUGGACUGAUCUCUUUAGGAGUCACUUCUUUACCGUGUGCAACUCUGAACACACCUGGGAGCUUAGUUCCUGUCUACCGCGUAGUGGCGUACAUGGGACAACGGAACUAGAAGAGUGCCUUAGGAGGACAUGUACACACCCAAGUGACUCGUUGCGUGUCUAAAAAUCACUGCCAUCUGCAUAUUUAACACAGGGACAGUAACCUUAGCUCUGAGGUCAGGUCCCCUCUAGACUAGGAAUCUUUAAAAUCAUCAUUUCUACUAAAAUGUUGUCAUCAAAUAACAUUUUAUCAUUGAAUAAAAUAUAAACUAAUUACCAAGAGUUGCCACCUGACACAUUUCGACACUUUUGAAAGAAUAGAAAGAUCACAACUUUUAAGUUUUCAGUGUAUUAUCAUUUAGAGUAAUUAAAGGUCAAUGAUAUAUUUUCUUUGUGAGUAAAACAUUCCAAUAGUAAUUACUUCACUUCUCCUGGAUCUGCAGUUUCUGAACUGGAGCCAAAAUAACUACCAGCCUGUCAGCCUGUGAUGGAGUAACUAAACUCCCAUUUUCUGUGUACUCUUUUAUUCUAUUAGAACUGUUUUGUUUUUUUUUUACUUCUCUGGGCCUGAAUUUUCUCAAUUAUCUAAAAGAACAAAAAACAGUGAAAAACACUGCAGAAAUGUAGUGAUGGGGAAAAUGUGUUUAGUAGCAAAACACUGGGCAGUGUAAAGUAUCUGGAAAGACUUUAAGCAGUAAAACAAUACAGUUGCAAAUUGUAUGGAUAAUUACAUGUUUGAAUACAGCAUGAAGCUUCGCUAUUAGAACAUUGUUUUUGCUUGUGCUAAUAGGUUGUGUCGCAUCUUUUUUUGUUGUUUUUUGUUUGUUUUUGUCUCUGGGCUCUGAAGAUUGAAGUUUACUAUUAAUUGCCAAGAAGGACAUAAAAGAGGUGUGGUUGAAGGGUCUGCCAGAACCAGAGGCUAAGCACACAGCAGUGUAAAACAAAUUCUUUAUUCCAGCUUCCAGAAUGCAUCCUCUUCAGCCUUUCCUGUUCAUUGGACUAAAGCUGUUAAGCAGUGGUGUCAAGAACCGUCAUCCACUGGUUGAAGCUCAGUAGAAAACGAGGAAGCAGGCGGGUUUAGAUCCAGUAGGAACAACUUGACUCAGAUCUUCGCACUUUCCCUAAGGAGGGUCGGGGGUGAGGAGACAGCAUUUACAUUUGUACUGAAGCUGAUCUGAUGUGAUUGUGACAGUCUUCCAAUCAGUAUUUGUUUAUCUUAAUUUAGUCACGUGUUAAAAAUGUGAGGGUCAAAUUUACUUCCUCUCAAGGCCACUCGGCGUACACGUCUUGUAGUCUUUGGAAGGGAUGGCAAGGAAACAGCCAUGCUUUAAUGAUGGCAUUAGAUGUUGAUGAAAGCUAGGUGUAAUAGUAGAAACAUUUUAUUGUAUAUUUUUAUUCCAAAGUAAGUGCAGUGUAUUAUAUUUAGAUAAACGUUCAGUGAUAAGCCAGAAAUCUUACACAUACAUUGCUGAAAGACAUUUUCCCUCUGGAUUUAAUAAAAUUCUGGUACACAGAGGUACAAAAUGUAAUUCAUAGAUGUAAUGAAAACCCUAGAAAACUUACUUCCCGCAUGCUUUCCUUCCCUCCCCUCCCCUCCUGUCCCUUUCCUCCUCUUCUCCACCCCACCCUCCAGUCUUGCUUGUCUUCAUUGCUGGGGAAAAAAAAAAAAAAAAAAGUAGGUGAGCACAUAAUUAGGUCGUCACUUUUAAACUCUGGAUUAGUGGGAGAUCCUGGAAGACCUCCCUCAACUGCAGUGCUGAACAAACGACUUUUUCCACCCCCAUCUGCAUGCUCCCACUACUUUUGACUAGAUGUCUUGAGAAUCUGCCAAUAUUUUUAAUUGAUCAAGUGAAAAAUACACAGGAAGUAUGCCUGUUUUUUGUUGGAAUAUUUUCUUGAUGCGUUGCAUAAAGACCCAAAGGUGCUUUUGCUUCUGUCUGUCCUCAUAGAACUGGGGUUACUGUGGGGUGUGUGGUACCGCAGCACACCAUAAAUCUCCACUAGAUGUCAGCGUGCCACCAAAUGAAACCAGCACACUCUCCUGACCUGUUACUGAAACAGCUUUUUAAUCAGAAUGCUACAUACAAGUUUUAGUAUACAGGUUAAUAAAUUAUAUUUGUCAAUGAAUAGUAAUAAAAAUGAAAUCUUUAAAAAAUUUAGUACCUUUCAUCUGAGGAUUUCAAAAUGUUUUACUUAUAUUUUGGUUUUUGCCGUAAGAGCCCCAAAGAGAUAGAGUGCAAAUAUUCAUUUUUCAUUUUACAGUAAAGUAAAGUAAGGGGACAAAAUGAUUGGCCCAAGAUCACAUAGACAGUCUGAAUAAAUCCAGGCUGGUAUUUCUGCCAUCACAGAAUCUACUCUACCUGUGUACUUAGAUACAGAUGCCCUUUAUUAUCAUUUAUAUUAACUGCUUUGCCUUAAAAACAAGCUCAAGAAAAGUGGAAUAAUAGUUAAGAAUUAUCGAAGAUUAUUGAUACGAUUAAUAUGGGGAUGUUUUAGAUGUAAUUUUAAGUUUUUAUAAAGACUGCACAAAGAAAAUGUGCUGAACAACCUAGAUGAAAACUUUAGAAAAUCAUAGCAGUAUUUUACCUGUGCUGUUUUACAGAUGGUGAACUCAGACCAGUGUGAGCCUUGUCUUAGCUCAUGUGCUCAAGUGCAGGAGGAAAAGCAAUUAUAAUUUGGUCUGGAAGGUUGAAGCUCUUGGGUAUGAUGGGAUUAAUGGGCAUAACUGCAUAUUGUAGGUUUUUCACUGUAUAAUUUUCUUUAAGAGGAAUAUACAUAAAAUCCUGUAUAUUAAGACUUGUGAUUUUCUCAAAAUUGUAUAAAUACACAAGUUACAACUGUAAAAGUUAUGUUUGUGGAUAAAGAUUAAAAAUACAUAAAUGGCAA